rnacentral:lncRNA from 1 species
CAUGUGUGGUCCGCCCCACCCCCAGCACCCCGGCAGAAACCGCACCCCACUUCCCAUAGCCACGUUCUUCCCCAGACCUUACCCUGCCCAAGAGGUUGUCCUGAAGUAAUGUCUGCUGCAGCACUGGGGCCACCUCCUCCAAGCUCAACAUGUGGCAAAGUUCAUUUUUAACGUGCUGGAUUUUCCGAUGAAAGCCUGAAACCUGCACAUCUGAAGAUGCCUUCGCCAUGAUGCAAUGGAUGCCAAACACGACAUACACCCUUGGGACGGUGACCUCAGCCAUCUGCAACAAGGCUCUCAGAACCAGUCCUUUGACUAUAAAAAAAGCAGCAGCUUUCACUAACCAAGCAUCUUUAAUCCAAGCCAAAUUACAGAACUCUCUAACUUAGAGGUGAUCGUCCAUACGGCAGAUCAUUACAACAUGAAAAACGUAAGCUAAGAUGUUGAACACAGCCAGAACUGAAAAUAAAAGAGCUU